rnacentral:misc_RNA from 1 species
UCCGGCUUAUCACCGGCAGUCCCUCUAGAGUGCCCAACUAAAUGAUGGCAACUAAAGGCGAGGGUUGCGCUCGUUGCGGGACUUAACCCAACAUCUCACGGCACGAGCUGACGACAGCCAUGCAGCACCUCUAGAGCAGUCCGGUAAAGGACAUUGACAUCUCUGCCAACUUCCACUCCAGUUCAAGCCCAGGUAAGGUUCUUCGCGUUGCGUCGAAUUGAACCACAUGCUCCACCGCUUGUGCGGGCCCCCGUCAAUUCCUUUGAGUUUUAACCUUGCGGCCGUACUCCCCAGGCGGGGCACUUAUUGCGUUAGCUGCGACACCAAAAGGAUUAAACCUUCCGACAUCUAGUGCCCAUCGUUUACAGCGUGGACUAC